rnacentral:other from 1 species
UUAAUCCUGAUGUGUUCGUUGCGAUUAUUAAUGUUUUGACCGAACAUUAUGAAGUCGGGAGCUUACGUUUUCUUGUUGCUUACAUGCCUCGUAUUGACCUGAGGACUUAAAAACCAAGAAACAAAGCACCCACCUGCCAAGAGCGGGUUCAAAACUUUUUAUUUAGACGGCACGAUCGGGAUUUAU